rnacentral:rRNA from 1 species
CCUGCCCAGAAGCGGGGGAUAACACCUGGAAACAGAUGCUAAUACCGCAUAACAACUUGGACCGCAUGGUCCGAGCUUGAAAGAUGGCUUCGGCUAUCACUUUUGGAUGGUCCCGCGGCGUAUUAGCUAGAUGGUGGGGUAACGGCUCACCAUGGCAAUGAUACGUAGCCGACCUGAGAGGGUAAUCGGCCACAUUGGGACUGAGACACGGCCCAAACUCCUACGGGAGGCAGCAGUAGGGAAUCUUCCACAAUGGACGAAAGUCUGAUGGAGCAACGCCGCGUGAGUGAAGAAGGGUUUCGGCUCGUAAAACUCUGUUGUUAAAGAAGAACAUAUCUGAGAGUAACUGUUCAGGUAUUGACGGUAUUUAACCAGAAAGCCACGGCUAACUACGUGCCAGCAGCCGCGGUAAUACGUAGGUGGCAAGCGUUGUCCGGAUUUAUUGGGCGUAAAGCGAGCGCAGGCGGUUUUUUAAGUCUGAUGUGAAAGCCUUCGGCUCAACCGAAGAAGUGCAUCGGAAACUGGGAAACUUGAGUGCAGAAGAGGACAGUGGAACUCCAUGUGUAGCGGUGAAAUGCGUAGAUAUAUGGAAGAACACCAGUGGCGAAGGCGGGCUGUCUGGUCUGUAACUGACGCUGAGGCUCGAAAGUAUGGGGUAGCAACAGGAUUAGAUACCCCUGGUAGUCCAUA